UACGUAGGGUGCGAGCGUUUGUCCGGAAUUAUUGGGCGUAAAGGGCUCGUAGGCGGUUUGUCGCGUCGGAAGUGAAAUCCACUGGCUUAACUGGUGGCUUGCUUUCGAUACGGGCAGACUGGAGGUAUGCAGGGGAGAACGGAAUUCCUGGUGUAGCGGUGAAAUGCGCAGAUAUCAGGAGGAACACCGGUGGCGAAGGCGGUUCUCUGGGCAUGUCCUGACGCUGAGGAGCGAAAGUGUGGGGAGCGAACAGG
rnacentral:rRNA from 1 species